GGGGUUACGGCUGCUACUCUUGGCUCCUUACUCCAUUGUCCCAACCUGAUUCUCCUGCUGAACACAGUUACAAUCAUGCACAUAAGGCUACGCGGAAUGUGAUAGAAAGAUGUUUUGGUGUGCUGAAGUCACGGUUUCGGUGUCUGGAUAAAUCUGCAGGCCUUUUGUUGUAUAGUCCCUCAAAGAUAACUGAGGUGAUCGGGGCUCAUCACUCUGCGAACUCGCCAAUAGUGCCAGUGGUGGCUGGGGUGACACUGCCGAAAUGCGUCGCCUGGGUGGGGAUGAUGGAGCCGCAGAUUCCGUGCCAAGACGCCGUGUCUUACUUGGCCUCCUGGAAUAUGUGACUACAGUGAAGUCUUACCUGCAAUCCCUGCCUCAUCCUGACUUGUCUGAGGCCUGUCUGGCCGGCUGGUCUGUGGGACU